rnacentral:rRNA from 1 species
CCUACGGGAGGCAGCAGUGGGGAAUCUUGCGCAAUGGGCGAAAGCCUGACGCAGCCAUGCCGCGUGAAUGAUGAAGGUCUUAGGAUUGUAAAAUUCUUUCAGUAGGGACGAUAAUGACGGUACCUACAGAAGAAGCCCCGGCUAACUUCGUGCCAGCAGCCGCGGUAAUACGAAGGGGGCUAGCGUUGCUCGGAAUUACUGGGCGUAAAGGGAGCGUAGGCGGACAUUUAAGUCAGGGGUGAAAUCCCAGAGCUCAACUCUGGAACUGCCUUUGAUACUGGGUGUCUUGAGUGUGAGAGAGGUAUGUGGAACUCCGAGUGUAGAGGUGAAAUUCGUAGAUAUUCGGAAGAACACCAGUGGCGAAGGCGACAUACUGGCUCAUUACUGACGCUGAGGCUCGAAAGCGUGGGGAGCAAACAGGAUUAGAUACCCUGGUAGUCCACGCCGUAAACGAUGAUUGCUAGUUGUCGGGAUGUUUACAUCUCGGUGACGCAGCUAACGCAUUAAGCAAUCCGCCUGGGGAGUACGGUCGCAAGAUUAAAACUCAAAGGAAUUGACGGCUGAGACGNGCGAGACGACGACGAGGGAGGAGG